rnacentral:lncRNA from 1 species
AUAAAGAUCUUUCUGGAGAUGUAUCUUCAGUAGCUGAAGUGAGAACAGGAUUCAUGGUUGAGUAGGUAUGUUCUUUUUUUUUUUUUUUUAAACUUAAAAUACGAAUUGUGUAGUAAAUAUGCUGAUUUUAUAGCUAUCCCUCUACGCAACAUUCUUCCUCAUCAUUUUAAAAACAGAGCCGAACGUACUGGUUUUAAAUCGCCGAGGGAAGGAGGUGCAAUACCCUCGGAGGGCAGCCUGGGGACCACUUGCCCUACCCCUUCACCAUGGAUUUGUGAAGCCUUCAGUUUCCUCCCCCUCCCCUCCCGUGUGGGGGCCGCAGCCCAGCCCAGCCCUGCCUCCCGCAAAUUCCGGCCGCCUGCUCACGCCCCGCUCCGUGCUGGUGCCAGACGGGGAGGGAGGACGACGAGGGCACGGCAGGGACUUGGGGAGGCGCUGAGGAGCCGCCGCAGGUCGCUCGCCCCGCAGCGUCCUGGGGUUGCGCGGAGGCGGCGGUGCUGGCAGCGGAGCCCUGGGAUCCCGGCACUUCCAAAAGACUGGAGAGGAGUUCACGGUGGUGAAAAACGUCACAUUGCUGUGAGAUAUCUUCUGUGGACCCAUUUUUAG